rnacentral:rRNA from 1 species
AUAAAUAAACUAUCGGUAUAUCUGCCCAGUGAAUUUUUUAACGGCCGCAGUAUCCUAACUGUGCUAAGGUAGCAUAAUAAUUAGUUUUUUAAUUGAAAACUCGUAUGAAAGAAUCGACGAGGGGAAACCUGUCUCAAUAAUUCUAAUAACUUACUAUGAGGGUAAAAAAGCCCUAAUAUUCUAAUGGGACGACAAGACCCUAUAAAACUUUACUCCUCCUCCUAAUUUAAUUUAUUCUGUAUAGGACUCGAGUUAUACUGGGGCGGUAAUUUUUAACUUAAACAUUUGACACCUUAACAUCCUUCAUGAGCUUACUAAACCCUUCUAAGUAAUAAAGAACAAGUUACUUUAGGGAUAACAGCGUAAUAUUUCUAUAGAGCCCUUAUCGACAGAAAUGAUUUCGACCUCGCAUGUUGAAUUGAAGACUGCUUCUACAGAGCAG